UGUGAGGUGCUGAACCUCAUUGGCUGGAACAUGAAUUGCUAGGGGGCUGGCCCAUGUGGGGGAACAUGUAAGGAAAAUGGCACUGCACAGCUUCCAGUAAACAGUCACUUUCAAACUACGGAUUUCGUAGCUAAUUGAGGUAAAAAAGUCAUUCUUCUCAUAGAUUAUGCAUGUAUGAACUACACAUUCAUGUCCUUAAAUGCUGCUAGGGACCAGGUCAUAUGACUGAGGCAUAUGACUGACUAAGGCACACUCACUCCUAAGCCUGGCUCAUGCGCUUGCUUAAUCUCGUUGGCCGAGAGAGCACUCUGUAGGGCUGACCCAUUCAUAACCGAACUGCAUGUUAGAAACCCCAUAAAAACACUUCUUCCUCAAUCAAUCCGGUUAACAAUAUUUUAAAGAAGCUUGAGAUUUUUUUAGAUACCGUUACGUCCCAAUGUAACAGCACAAAAAAGCACAAACACAAAAACUCUUAUCCCCACAAAACCCCUCCCGUUCAGUUCUCACACAUCUGGUGAGGCAAUAGUGCUGAAUCACCAUGACUGUAGAGAGCCUUAAAGGUACAGGCGUGUGCACACACACCCUUGUCUGCGUCUCAUUGGUGACAGUCGCGAGGGUGCAUGAAUGAAAUGAGAGAAUAGAAGAAAAUAAAAGGAAAGUUAACGUGCUUCCUGAUUGUAGCUGCGAGCAAGAAUGGACUUGGAAGCUCCAAAUACCACUCGUCAUCAUCAGCACACAGCUCCUCUUAAUUUUCUCCAUUUGGUGACCCACAGGACUUUCACAGAGUCGCUGUCUCUCAGCUAGGGAUAUCUGCAGAAAGGCUUUCUUGAUGUCUGCCAUGCGAUCUGCGAUCUCGUGCAGUCUGAACUGUAGUCGUCUCGGGUUCUAGUCGUUUGUGUUUUCAUGGUAACUCCACAUGGUAUCGUACAUCAUUGGUGCCUACACCGACGAUCCAAAAGUGGUCUCUAAAGCAACUAGCAUCUCUGUUAGUCUCUCCACUUUGCUGGAUACUAUCUGCCAGUAGUAGUCUGCUCCGAUCAGGACAGAGAGUUCAGGAUCAUCACCUCCUGUAAAGUCUGCGAGCAGCAGUCCUUUCCUCUUGAGCUCAUGUUGAAUCUGCUCACCAAACUUUCCUCAAGGCUGUGCAUCUUUUAGUAAUAAUACUUGUUCACGUAAAAGUGUAACACAUUAGAUCAUACCAAACAAUAAAAUAACUUUGCUAGCACAAGCCAGGCUAAUCACUUGGCAGUAA